UGACUUAUUCUGAGAUUGUCCCCUGGC
rnacentral:piRNA from 1 species